UACGUAGGGUGCGAGCGUUAAUCGGAAUUACUGGGCGUAAAGUGUGCGCAGGUGGCCGCGCAAGUCGAGUGUGAAAUCCCCGAGCUUAACUUGGGAAUUGCGCUCGAAACUACGUGGCUCGAGUGUGGCAGAGGAAGGUGGAAUUCCACGUGUAGCGGUGAAAUGCGUAGAUAUCUGGAGGAACACCGGUGGCGAAGGCGGCAUCCUGGACCAUUACUGACACUGAAAAGCGAAAGCCAGGGGAGCAAACGGG
rnacentral:rRNA from 1 species